rnacentral:rRNA from 1 species
UACGUAGGCAGCGAGCGUUGUUCGGAGUUACUGGGCGUAAAGAGUGCGUAGGCGGUUUUCUAAGUUUGGUGUGAAAUCUCCCGGCUUAACUGGGAGGGUGCGCCGAAGACUGGAAGGCUUGAGUAUGGGAGAGGUAGGCGGAAUUCCUGGUGUAGCGGUGAAAUGCGUAGAUAUCAGGAGGAACACCUGUGGUGUAGACAGCUUACUGGACCAUUUCUGACGCUGAGACACGAAAGCGUGGGUAGCAAACAGG